rnacentral:lncRNA from 1 species
GAGAUCAUUAGCAGUGUCAAAAGAUUCAGCAGCCAUAAAUACUUUGUCCAGCAAGAUUUCAAGGCAUCCUUAUUGCACAGCAGAAUCCGAGGAAGCUAAUAGACAUAGGAGACAGCAUAGGGCCUUCAAUACACUUAAUGAUGCAGCAUUCCUAUUACCAACACAUAAAAUUUAAUGGUUAUCCAAAAAGAGAAUUCUUCUGGUAGCUUUUUUAAAAUAUCAGUUAGUAAUUCAAUAGAGUUUUUAAUGGAAUGUUCCUUUAAUUAGCUUAUGCACUGUUGCAAUUCAGUGAAGAGUUACCCAUCCAGUAAACAGGAUAUUCUUCAAAGUAGUGCACUGUAGAAAAAGAGAAUAUUUUACAAAGUCUUCAAUUGUCCAAUUGUUUUCCAGUAUAGUUCUCUCUGAUUGUGAUUGACAGUUGGGAAGACAGAUCAAAAUAACUUUAAGACAGUGUAAAGGACCAAACUGAGUGCUGCACUUGAGGUCUUGGUUUUGCUAGAACUAUAUUUUAUUACUUGAGGUAUAUUUGGGAACCAGUGUUGGGGCCCACGGGAGCAACUGUUUCUGACGUGCCA